AUGUUGAAGAGAUAAACUAUACAUCCAUCCAUCGAAACGUCAACGAAUACGGCCUAUAAAUACGUAUUAUCAUCAACAUUAAGUCAUAAACGUAAGCACAAAAAAAAACACAUGGCAAAGGCCUUCAAGUACUCAUCUGUUUGCUUCUUUGCUCUGCUGCCCGUCCUCUUGUUGGGAAAGACAAAGGGAGAUGAUUAUUGUCCACCCAUUGGGGAACUGGAGAACUCAUCCGUGGCAUGUCAGAAUCCAGACGAUGGAAACACGUACUGUACCUAUGCAUGCUUUAAUAUCAUCCCUCAACCAGGGCAUACCAUCGGCAGAUGUGAGCAAGAUGUCGACGGCGUUCAUUGUAGGUGCUAUUUUUGCGCUGAUCUUCAACCAUAUCCGCCGUGAUUCCUCCUCCUCUCUCCGUGUUUUCAGUGGACCGCCAUGUUUAAGAAUAACACUGUGUGACAAGGAUUUGGACUGAUCCAUCUGUCUAAGA